rnacentral:miRNA from 1 species
UUCAGGUUUUGAACAUAGAGGU